GAUCACUCCGACAGUCAUCUCACCCACCAUUACCGGUAUCGCGUAGUAAUAGAACAUGAUCCAUAGCGAGCUAUUGGCUACACCCACUACUACUAGGCAGACCUCACAUAGCUAUUCACCCCGCAUAAUAGCGAAAACUACGUACACCCCCGUAAUCACUUAGUGGCGAGUGUAUGCCGGCCUCCCCCUACUACGCCUGGCUACUACACUUCUCCGCCACAUGAUUACUAUCCCAACGGGAGGGUGUAUCCCCGAUUGCUAGGGGAGUACUCGUGGUUGGGACCAACUAAUCCACCCUUGAAGCUACAACUGACAUGGCCGAUUAGCAAAUUCGCGAAGAGAUUAGUGUACAUAUAUACAAGCCACAGAUUUCUCGCUGUCGACAAGUGGUUUGGAAGGAAGUAUUGCUAGGCCAAUGUACUCUAACCAGUUGUAUGCUCCAAAGCCUAGCACCAAUGCUCCUAUAGUGAAAUAAAUGUUGGGUGAUGCCUCAAGUCAUCCAUCAGCAAAUCAUGGCGAUCCGCGGAUCCAUAGAUAUGGUCAACUGCUCAUCCAUAGAUUGUCUACCACUACUUCAACAUAAUUCAUAAGCCUUACAACAACCCUCAUACUCUCAAAUACGUCAAAUAAUUCCUAAUUAAUUAUUAUUUCUGUUUGAUAAAGUUUGAGGCUCAUUUUGAUCUCUUCAUCCAAUACCAUUGGCGAAGUAGCCCGAUAGUUAAAUUCCUUGAGCGUCUUCCCUUCGACCUGACCUGCCAGUUCUACAAGAAGAGUGGCAGUUAAAGGGCCAUGCACAAGGGGUCCUCUCUGCUCUUCUUUUGAUACGGACCAAUCCUGAUCGUAAUGGAUCUUGUGGGGGUUAUGUGUUAACGCGGAGUAAAGGAAAAGUAAAGGGGAAGUUGGAGUAUAAGAGAAUCGAUAGGAGGCGUCAUCUUUGUCGACAUGGCUAUUCAGAUGAGAAUAGGAAGAAUGAGCAGGGGAUGAACCUGCUAAAUAUUGCAAACAAACAAAUCGUCAGCGGCCGUUCCUCUGGAUACUUCGCAUUGGAGUUUUGCUGUGAGCUUAUUGGAGCCUGGCGCCAUAAAGCGUCUUGUCUCGAUGAGGACAUACCCG
rnacentral:sRNA from 1 species